rnacentral:rRNA from 1 species
GGGUUGUGAGGUUAAGCGACUAAGCGUACACGGUGGAUGCCCUGGCAGUCAGAGGCGAUGAAGGACGUGCUAAUCUGCGAAAAGCGUCGGUAAGGUGAUAUGAACCGUUAUAGCCGGCGAUGUCCGAAUGGGGAAACCCAGUGUGAUUCGUCACACUAUCGUUAACUGAAUACAUAGGUUAACGAGGCGAACCGGGGGAACUGAAACAUCUAAGUACCCCGAGGAAAAGAAAUCAACCGAGAUUCCCCCAGUAGCGGCGAGCGAACGGGGAGCAGCCCAGAGUCUGA